CGACAGCAUCUAAAGAAUCAAGACCCAAGUCAUUCGCAAAUGUUGAUGUAGGUGUGACCUGAAUGGUUAGAGAGAAUGCAUAGGGGUAAAGAGAAAAAACAAAGAUAACAUUAACCUAAAAAAUUUUUUCGUAAAUUCAAGCCGACGACUUUUACAAUGAGUCUUGAAAUUGGAAAUAACAAAAAUGUUAAGAUCCAAAAUUACACAUAGAGUGAAAAAAAACAACUGAAUGAAUGCAAAACAUACCUUUUUAGGGUCCUGAAUUUUGUCAAAGGAAGAAACAACUUUAAGGAUUCGUUUUUCAGCAUCAGGGCGAGCAACGCUAUAAAAUCGCAAAGGUUGAAAUUUGGGAAUCACCGGCCUAACUGCGGAAAUAAAGCGCAACUGGGAAGAAAAACGGGAAAGCAUUUUAUUUCUAAACAACUAGCAAAGCACUUAACAAUGAAUUUGCAAUUUCCGCUAUUAUCUUUUAAUAGGUGGUAGAUGACAAAGAUGAUGAUGUCCCACAAUUGUAUUAGAAUACGAAUGGGUAGGCUAAGAAUGAGAUAAGGAUUCGUUACAACACGUUAACUGGGUAUUUGAAAUUUGAAAUUUAAGAAUAUUAAAUGUUUGAGUAUAGUAACUAUUUAAUUUUACUUUAGUCAUCAUUUUUUGUAGAAUAGUUAAAUAUUUUUCAACACUCUACUCUCAUUGUCUUGGAAAAUGACUCAUGCUUCUCUAGUUACUCUGUUUCUACCAUUUUGACAAGCACGUGUAUGGCAGUAUAUGAAGAAAAUAACAAUUUGGUAUUCCAACUUUUUUUUAAUCAAAUGAUUCAUACUAAGUUAGUUAGUCUUUAAUGAAAGAGCAACGAAGAGUGAAUUAAUUACAAAGCAGGGGGAAGGAAAUAAUAAUAUUUUCCUCAGUUGAAAAAGAGUAUCUAUGUAAAUUUUGAAUGGAUUUCCUACCUGCACAAAU